ACGCUCGACACCUACGGAGCAGCAGUGGGGAAUAUUGCACAAUGGGGGAAACCCUGAUGCAGCGACGCCGCGUGAAGGAAGAAGUAUCUCGGUAUGUAAACUUCUAUCAGCAGGGAAGAAAGUGACGGUACCUGACUAAGAAGCCCCGGCUAACUACGUGUCAGCAGCCGCGGUAAUCUGAGCGGGCUGGCAAGGC
rnacentral:rRNA from 1 species